rnacentral:rRNA from 1 species
CCUACGUGGGGCAGCAGUGAGGAAUAUUGGUCAAUGGGCGCGAGCCUGAACCAGCCAAGUAGCGUGAAGGAUGACUGCCCUACGGGUUGUAAACUUCUUUUAUAAAGGAAUAAAGUGAGGCACGUGUGCCUUUUUGUAUGUACUUUAUGAAUAAGGAUCGGCUAACUCCGUGCCAGCAGCCGCGGUAAUACGGAGGAUCCGAGCGUUAUCCGGAUUUAUUGGGUUUAAAGGGAGCGUAGAUGGGUUGUUAAGUCAGUUGUGAAAGUUUGCGGCGCAACCGUAAAAUUGCAAUUGAUACUGGCAGUCUUGAGUACAGUUGAGGUAGGCGGAAUUCGUGGUGUAGCGGUGAAAUGCUUAGAUAUCACGAAGAACUCCGAUUGCGAAGGCAGCUUACUAAACUGCCACUGACAUUGAUGCUCGAAAGUGUGGGUAUCAAACAGGAUUAGAUACCCCAGUAGUC